rnacentral:tRNA from 1 species
GGGCGACUGGCUCAGUUGGUUAGAGCGCCGCCCUUACAAGGCGGAUGUCACAGGUUCGAGUCCUGUGUCGCCCA